AUACAACUUUCAGCAACGGAUCUCUUGGCUCUCGCAUCGAUGAAGAACGCAGCGAAAUGCGAUAAGUAAUGUGAAUUGCAGAAUUCAGUGAAUCAUCGAAUCUUUGAACGCNCCUUGCGCUCCUUGGUAUUCCGAGGAGCAUGCCUGUUUGAGUGUC
rnacentral:rRNA from 1 species